AAUAGAUACCCCGGUAGUCCACGCCGUAAACGGUGGGCACUAGGUGUGGGGACCAUUCCACGGUCUCUGCGCCGCAGCUAACGCAUUAAGUGCCCCGCCUGGGGAGUACGGCCGCAAGGCUAAAAACUCAAAGGAAUUGACGGGGGCCCGCACAAGCGGCGGAGCAUGCGGCUUAAUUCGAAGCAACGCGAAGAACCUUACCUAGGCUUGACAUGCAGGGAAAUCUGGCAGAGAUGCCAGGUCCUUCGGGGCCUUGCACAGGUGGUGCAUGGCUGUCGUCAGCUCGUGUCGUGAGAUGUUGGGUUAAGUCCCGCAACGAGCGCAACCCUCGUUCUAUGUUGCCAGCGGUUCGGCCGGGGACUCAUAGAAGACUGCCGGGGUCAACUCGGAGGAAGGUGGGGAUGACGUCAAGUCAUCAUGCCCCUUAUGUCUAGGGCUGCACGCAUGCUACAAUGGUCGGUACAAAGGGCUGCGAUACCGUAAGGUGGAGCGAAUCCCAAAAGCCGGCUCAGUUCGGAUUGGGGU
rnacentral:rRNA from 1 species